rnacentral:tRNA from 1 species
AAAUUGCAAAUUUGAAACAAGCACCCUAAGUG